CUUCGAAGUUCAUUAGAGAAUGCAUUAUCUGACGAGAUUAAUUUAAACUCUCAAACUCUAUCAGCGGACAUAAUGAAGUCAACUGAUAGUGAAAUCAUAACCAAACUUUCAAAAUUUGUUUGUUUAUGUUUCGAGCAAAGACUUAAAUACCUUGAAACCAGGAAUGCAGAUUAGCAAAGGUUGUAAUAACCACCUUAUUUGUAAAUAGUAUACUUGUCUUCUUUCCUUUUAAUUCUUCUUAAUAUUGUAUUAGUCUAUUAUAAAUCAUUCCACAAAUAGUAAUCUGUAAUAGUCCUAGAGUUUAUCAUAGUUUCUUCUAUAUAUUGUUUGUAAUGCUUUAGCAAUACUGUAAAUUUAUGGUCAUGCUAAUAAAGCUAUUAAUUACCUUACCUCAGAGCUAUUUUAAGACCUGC